GUGGGAGCUUCUGUCAGUGCUGUGUGAUCGCGACGAGGGGACCGCCGCCAGCAGCAUCGUAUCGCCGAUUUCGUCUUUGCCAACAUCGAGGAAGUGCAGCUCGCCGGACCGUCACAAGCGCCCGAAGUACUGCGGUUUGCACUGCAUCUUUUAUUGUGAUAUGGGAGAUCGCAACGGACAGAGACGACCAGAUGCAUACGAACCACUACCAGCGGGGACCUGUGACCAGUGCCAUAUUUCUGUUAACGUCUCAGGUAUAAAGAAAUGGCAGCAACCAGAAGUCGCCAUCUUCUCCAGCACGUUAUGGGUGAGACAAAUCGUACACUCUGGCGGCUCCUUGUGUCUGUUUUCAUCGUCUACUAUGUGCAGAUGGUUGCCUCGAAAUUUUGCCCAAGCCACGCCGCACAUUCGGGCCACGCCUCUUGCAAACAACGUGUAACUAGGCUCAACGCAUCAGUGUUGAGUGAGUCCGGAGAUCAA